GACAAGAAUUGGCAUUCUAACCAAUACCAUUUUUUUCUCUAAAGCAGGAGAAAAAAAGAUAUUAUCAGAAGAAUUCUUUUCUCAUCAGAUACUAUAAUUAUACCAUCUGGGCUGUUGAGAGGAUGGCAUCUAAAUAUUGCAGUUCCCUUAGACAAGAAAGACCUGAGGGACCCUGAGGUCCUCUGGGAAUGCUGCAAAUUGCAUGUGCUGAGUAUGUGAAGAAAAGGUUCCCAGAAUCUCUUCCUCUAGAAUUGCAGCAACUAUUUGAGGCUGAGGUUAGAGUAGCCUUGAGAGAGCAAGGCUGAUUACCCUAUUGCAUCUCUCAGCUGCAUUGGAUUUUGCAUGUAAGUUAAACUAACCGUAAUACAUAUCCAGUGAUAAUGUAAUAGUUCCUUAUACCUGCUGUUCCAUUUCCUAAAUAUAGGUGUGUCUAAUUUAACUGGGAUAUUCAAGCUUUUUGUGUGAAUCUCAGUGUUUCCAUGAAACACUUAAUACUGAUGCUCAGAUUCUGGGAGACAUGAGAAUAUUCAUUUCACAGCUAUUGAUGGCUACACAAUAUCAACAUGCCACCUGAUAUGUGAUUCUCCAUAUAAAUCAAGAGAGAAAGAUGAUAAAAUAUUUUUAUUUUAAUUCAGAUCUUCAGAUGCUUAGUGUUUAAAAAACAAGACAGAUAUUGAAGCCUCGCUUGAGAUGUUUUAGGUUAACUUGUUGAUGUUAAGAAGUGUGUAUCUGAACAGAGCUCUCAGGACUGCAUAUUUCUCUAUGUGUUUCUGCGAACUAUUGACGAAAAUGUGGAAAUGUUCCCUGCUGUAGACUUCUCCAGUGAUUCCUGAUUCAUAAAUGACAGCCGAGUAUUAAAGUUAGAACACAAAGGAAAGCCAACUACUUGUAUCUUCUAUGUAGAGAGGUCAAAACUUUAAAGGGUAGCCUCAAAGUUUUCUAAACCUUUUGGACUCUGGUUUGUUUCUAACAUUUAUGACCAGUACACAUUCCUAAUUAUCUGUCCAUUGACUUUCGGCCUUCAAUAACAUCUCCAGUCAAGCAAAUUUUCCCAAGCCUUUUGCUAUGUGAUACCACAACAGUAAGACUGAGAAAAUAAAAUAUACAUUUGGAUUUUUUGCUUACAACAGAGUUUUUAGAUUCUAAUGUAGUUAUAAAAUGGGAAAAAAAAUCAGUGAUAAAUCAUGCCUUAUAAAUUUUGGUACUAUCAUGAAGCCUAAAGCAAGACAAAAAACCAAUGCAUUACUGUAGAUUUUUUUGGGGGGGAUAGACAUUAGAGAUUAAAUUACUGUAUUAAAUAAAAAGUAUUCAGGCUGUGGACAGAUUCAGUCAGGGAAGAAGACUGACACAGGGAGCAGCUGCAGCAGAAAUAGUAAAAGAAAAUCUGAACAAGGAAAUGCUACUGAGAAUCACUCUGUCUUAAUUGCUAAGAGAAUCAAUCCUUUUCCCCUGUAAUUCUGUGGAAUAUCAGUUUUAGAAGAGUUGUUUGAAAUCUUUAGGAAAAAAGAUGGAAGUAAUCGAUACACAAAAUAUGUUUUUUUUUCUUCUUUAAUAUUAUGUAAAAUGGAAAUACCAGUAUUUUCAUUCUAGUAUUAGACAUUGACUUAGUGACACA
rnacentral:lncRNA from 1 species